UACAGAGGGGGCAAGCGUUGUUCGGAAUUACUGGGCGUAAAGGGCGCGUAGGCGGCCUGCUAAGUCGAACGUGAAAUCCCUGGGCUCAACCCAGGAACUGCGUCCGAUACUGGUUGGCUUGAAUCCGGGAGAGGGAUGCGGAAUUCCAGGUGUAGCGGUGAAAUGCGUAGAUAUCGGGAGGAACACCUGCGGUGUAGACGGCUUACUGGACCGUGACUGACGCUGAGGCACGAAAGCGUGGGUAGCAAACAGG
rnacentral:rRNA from 1 species